rnacentral:snRNA from 1 species
GUGCUCACUUCGGCAGCACACAUACUAAAAUUGGAAUGAUAGAGAGAAGAUUAGCAUGGCCCCUGCGCAAAGAUGACAUGAAAUCCAUAUUUUU